UGGGCAGGUGGGCUGCUGGGCUGCAUCAGGGUCAGGGUCACUGCAGCCAAACUACCUUUAUUUCAGAGGCAUGUGCUUCUUCCUGACCUUUGCUGCCUGUUUCUGGCUUGUUGGGGACGAUUCCUCCUGCUUGUUGCCAGAACGCUUUGGAAGCGUAGACGGCCCUGCAUUGCCCAUGCUUGAUGACACAGCACUUCCUAUUCUGUCAACUGUUGCAGCGGGCAGGUCACAACAGGAACUUGGUGGCUCGUGUGAUAGGGGCCAUUGAAGUGAGCUCAGGGAAGGAACUAGUCAAGGGGCGGGUGAGACCCCGGGCCCAGCCCUUGGUGGGGGGCAGGAGCUGGGCUGCGGAACACACACUCGGACCCCGGUCCCCUCCUGCUCUCUGAUUUCCUUCCAGAACACAGCCGGCAGCUGGAGGGCGCGGGAAGCUGGUGCUGUGGUCUGUGGAGUCGGCCCCGAGGGAGACGCUGAGCAGAGAACCGAUUCAGAGGAGCAAACAGAGAAGUCUGCCCGGUGGGGUGAUCUCCCGUGAUGGUUCACGAGGCCCAGCCAGCACGUGUUUGGUGAAUUCUGUGUGCUGGGCGCUGUGCAGGCGCCCGGGCUGCGGCGGUGGACGGGCUGGGUGUGGCCUAGAGCAGCAGGUCUGUGGAGGUGCCGCUCAGCGCGUCUGACGGGCCCGUGUUCUGCCAGUGGAGUUGCGCUACUGGGAGCCACCUUCUAACUUGGUGUGAACAACGCGCGACUCUAGAGGUUUCUCCAGCCCUCAACACUCCCCUACCUGGGCCAGCCGUGUCCUGGCUGGCACUGUCCUUACCAAACUGCACCGCCAGCCCCAGGGAGGUGACCUCAGGCUGCCCUGGGGAGAGGCAAGCCCUGGAGACACCCCCGCUACAAACUCCCCUGGCUUUGAAGGACUUCUUCCACCUUGGACAGGUAACACAAUGAACAGGAGUACGCUGGCCACGGCUCGGUCCAGUCUGGCUGACCACAAGCAAUAAUUGAAGCCUAGGAAAGAAGACACUAGAGAUUCUGAUCCCAAAGUCUGUUCCCAUGGGUGGCCCACUGCCAGCCAAACAUAUUAAAGGUU